rnacentral:rRNA from 1 species
GACGAACGCUGGCGGCAUGCUUAACACAUGCAAGUCGAACGAGAACUCCGGGUCUAGUGGCGCACGGGUGCGUACCACGGGGGAACCUGCCCUUAGGUUAGGAAUACCUCCCCGAAGGGGGUGCUCAUACCAGAUAAUGUCAUAGGACCAAAGAUCUCUCGCCGCUGGAUGGGCCCGCGUUGGUUUCGGUAGUUGGUAGGGUAAAAGCCUAACAAGGCGACGAUGCAUAGCUGGUAUGUGAGGCUGAUCAGCCACACUGGAACUGAGACACGGCCCAGACGCCUACGGGAGGCAGGAGUAGGGAAUAUUGUACACUGGGCGAAAGCCUAAUCCAGCAAUGCCGCGUGAGUGAGGAAUGCCUUAGUGUUGUAAAGCUCUUUUACCCGAGAUGAUAAUGACAGUACCGGGAGAAUAAGCUCCGGCUAACUCCGUG